rnacentral:miRNA from 1 species
GGAUACCCAAGUAAGUUUGAAUUUCAGAUAAACAAAGAAUAAUAUUUUUACCACAUGAAUAGCCCAUGUAAUAUUUGGGACAUACUUAUACUAAAAAACUAUUUGUUGUAUGUCCGAAAUUCAGAUUUAA